CCCGCCCGCCGGACACGGGCUGCUCCUCCCCGACCGAAGGGCAGCGGCGGGAAAGAGCCCCGAGCGAUUGCCAGACCGGCCCCGCGCGGCGCGGGAGGCCCCGCGCGCCCUCUCCCCCGCCCUCCUCCGCGUGCACUUCACCCCAAGUCCCGGGGCCGCAGACCCACCUCUUCCUCCAGAGUGCCGCCGGAGCCCGAGCCCGUGCCGGUGCCCGUGCUGGUGCUGUGCUCGCCGUCCGGCUUCAGAUGGAAGCCUAAAUGGAAACCUAAAUGGAAGCCUAAAAUAUAGGAGCUAUCUUUCCCAGUGAUACAUUCCUUUAAUAAAUUGUUGAACACGUACU